rnacentral:miRNA from 1 species
UGAGCCGAGUUGAGCUUAGCUGGGCUGAGCUAACCUGGGCAGGGAUGAGCUGGGCUGAGAUAACCUGGGC